rnacentral:rRNA from 1 species
ACGCUCGACACCUACGGGAGGCAGCAGUGGGGAAUAUUGCACAAUGGGGGGAACCCUGAUGCAGCGACGCCGCGUGAGUGAAGAAGUACUUCGGUAUGUAAAGCUCUAUCAGCAGGGAAGAAAUGACGGUACCUGACUAAGAAGCCCCGGCUAACUACGUGCCCGCAGCCGCGGUAAUCUGAGCGGGCUGGCAAGGC